rnacentral:rRNA from 1 species
UACGUAGGGUGCGAGCGUUGUCCGGAAUUAUUGGGCGUAAAGAGCUCGUAGGCGGUGUGUCACGUCGGCCGUGAAAACCUGCAGCUUAACUGUGGGCGUGCGGUCGAUACGGGCAUCACUGGAGUUCGGCAGGGGAGACUGGGAUUCCUGGUGUAGCGGUGAAAUGCGCAGAUAUCAGGAGGAACACCGGUGGCGAAGGCGGCUCUCUGGGACGGUACUGACGCUGAGACGCGAAAGCGUGGGGAGCGAACAGG